GUUCAAGCCAAAUGUUACCAGCUUCUCCUCUCAGUCUUCCAGCAUUCCAAUCGUGCCCUUUCAACUCCUUAUAUUCAUUCAUUAGCUCCAAUAGUGGUUGAAAAGCUAAAAGCUGUUGAAAGAAACAGACCAGCCAGUAACAUAGAGCUUUUAGCGGUUCAAGAAGGAAUAAAAGUUCUUGAAACACUGGUUGCUCUUGGUGAAGAACAAAACAUUCUAGGUAGUCAGCCUGAAUCUACUUUACGUUCCCUGCCUCCAGACCCUAUUCUCCUGCCUCCUGCCCACAACUCCCAGGCUCCAGUGAUCUACCCGCCUCGGCCUCCCAAAGUGCUGGGAUUACAGGCGUGAGCCAUGGCGCCUGGCCAAAAUGUAAAUGAGUCCUCGUAAAGCAAAAAAAGUAUUGUGAGUAAUAAAGUUGAACUACGAAUUAAAA
rnacentral:lncRNA from 1 species